UACGUAGGGUGCAAGCGUUAAUCGGAAUACUGGGCGUAAAGCGUGCGCAGGCGGUUAUGUAAGACAGAUGUGAAAUGCCCGGGCUUAACCUGGGAACUGCAUUUGUGACUGCAUGGCUAGAGUUUGGCAGAGGGGGGUAGAAUUCCACGUGUAGCAGUGAAAUGCGUAGAUAUGUGGAGGAACACCGAUGGCGAAGGCAGCCCCCUGGGUCAAGACUGACGCUCAUGCACGAAAG
rnacentral:rRNA from 1 species